rnacentral:rRNA from 1 species
UCUUGACGUUAGCAACAGAAGAAGCACCGGCUAACUCCGUGCCAGCAGCCGCGGUAAUACGGAGGGUGCGAGCGUUAAUCGGAAUUACUGGGCGUAAAGCGCAUGCAGGUGGUUCAUUAAGUCAGAUGUGAAAGCCCGGGGCUCAACCUCGGAACUGCAUUUGAAACUGGUGAACUAGAGUACUGUAGAGGGGGGUAGAAUUUCAGGUGUAGCGGUGAAAUGCGUAGAGAUCUGAAGGAAUACCAGUGGCGAAGGCGGCCCCCUGGACAGAUACUGACACUCAGAUGCGAAAGCGUGGGGAGCAAACAGGAUUAGAUACCCUGGUAGUCCACGCCGUAAACGAUGUCUACUUGGAGGUUGUGGCCUUGAGCCGUGGCUUUCGGAGCUAACGCGUUAAGUAGACCGCCUGGGGAGUACGGUCGCAAGAUUAAAACUCAAAUGAAUUGACGGGGGCCCGCACAAGCGGUGGAGCAUGUGGUUUAAUUCGAUGCAACGCGAAGAACCUUACCUACUCUUGACAUCCAGAGAAGCCAGCGGAGACGCAGGUGUGCCUUCGGGAACUCUGAGACAGGUGCUGCAUGGCUGUCGUCAGCUCGUGUUGUGAAAUGUUGGG